rnacentral:rRNA from 1 species
CAGUAGCCGCGGUAAUACGAGGGGAGCUAGCGUUAUUCGGAAUUACUGGGCGUAAAGCGCACGUAGGCGGCUUUGUAAGUUAGAGGUGAAAGCCCAGAGCUCAACUCUGGAAUUGCCUUUAAGACUGCAUCGCUUGAAUCCAGGAGAGGUGAGUGGAAUUCCGAGUGUAGAGGUGAAAUUCGUAGAUAUUCGGAAGAACACCAGUGGCGAAGGCGGCUCGCUGGACUGGUAUUGACGCUGAGGUGCGAAAGCGUGGGGAGCAAACAGGAUUAGAUACCCCCGUAGUCCCUGUCUCUUAUAC